AUUAACAAUACAAUAUUUCAGUUGAAAUAUUCCUUCCAUCCAGUAACUAAAAGAAUAAGGCACCCAAUAAAAUUUUAACAUUACAGAUGAUUAACUUAACAUAUUAAAGAUUUGUAGCAGAGCUCCAAUACCUAGCAUAGGUAUCUCCGCUAUUCCUUCCUCGAAGCUGAAAAAAGCUGUAUAAUAAUCCAAGACACUUUCCCCCCAGCAACUAGACGACACAGUUCUGUGAGUG